rnacentral:rRNA from 1 species
GAUGAACGCUGGCGGCGUGCCUAAUACAUGCAAGUCGAGCGAACAGACCAGGAGCUUGCGCCUCUGACGUUAGAGGCGGACGGGAGAGUAACACGUGGAUAACCUAACUAUAAGACUGGGAUAAUUUCGGGAAACCGGAGCUAAUACCGGAUAAUAUAUUGAACUGAAAGGUUCAAUAGUGAAAGACGGUUUUGCUGUCACUUAUAGAUGGAUCAGCGUCUCAUUAGCUAGUUGGUAAGGUCACUGCUUACCAAGGCAACGAUGCGUAGCCGACCUGAAAGCGUCGUCGGGCAGCCUGUACCUGAGACACGGCCCAGACACCUACGGUGAGCCGCAGUACGGACUCUUCCGCGAGGCGCCAGUGCCUGACGGAGCAACGCCGCGUGAAGGAUGACGGUCUUCUGAUCGGUGAACUCUGUUAUUAUUAAGGAUGAAAAGUGUUAGUAACUAUGCCCGUCAUGACGGUACCUAAACAGGAAGCCCCGGCUAACUUCGUG